rnacentral:rRNA from 1 species
AUAAUGAAGAGUUUGAUCCUGGCUCAGAACGAACGCUGGCGGCGUGUCUUAAGCAUGCAAGUCGAACGAUGAACCUGGAGCUUGCUCUAGGGGAAGAGUGGCGAACGGGUGAGUAACACGUGGGUAAUCUGCCUCGAAGUUUGGAA